rnacentral:rRNA from 1 species
AUACGGAGGGUGUAAGCGUUAUUCGGAAUCACUGGGCGUAAAGGACGCGUAGGCGGGUUGGCAAGUCAGAUGGGAAAUCCUACAGCUUAACUGUAGAACUGCAUUUGAAACUGCUAACCUAGAGUAUGGGAGGGGGAGAUGGAAUUAGUGGUGUAGGGGUAAAAUCCGUAGAUAUCACUAGGAAUACCGAAAGCGAAGGCGAUCUCCUGGAACAUAACUGACGCUAAGGCGUGAAAGCGUGGGGAGCAAACAGGAUUAGAUACCCUAGUAGUCC